CUACAUUAGAUACCCGGGUAGUCCCAGCCGUAAACUAUGCGCGUUAGGUGUAUCGGUGACCACGAGUUACCGAGGUGCCGAAGGGAAACCGUGAAACGUGCCGCCUGGGAAGUACGGUCGCAAGGCUGGAACUUAAAGGAAUUGGCGGGGAGCACCACAACAGGUGGAGCCUGCGGUUUAAUUGGACUCAACGCCGGGAAGCUCACCGGAUAGGACAGCAGAAUGAUUGCCGGGCUGAAGACCCUGCAUGACUAGCUG
rnacentral:rRNA from 1 species